rnacentral:rRNA from 1 species
CGUCUGGAAAGGCGCGCGAUACAGGGUGACAGCCCCGUACACAAAAAUGCACAUGCUGUGAGCUCGAUGAGUAGGGCGGGACACGUGGUAUCCUGUCUGAAUAUGGGGGGACCAUCCUCCAAGGCUAAAUACUCCUGACUGACCGAUAGUGAACCAGUACCGUGAGGGAAAGGCGAAAAGAACCCCGGCGAGGGGAGUGAAAAAGAACCUGAAACCGUGUACGUACAAGCAGUGGGAGCACGCUUCGGCGUGUGACUGCGUACCUUUUGUAUAAUGGGUCAGCGACUUAUAUUCUGUAGCAAGGUUAACCGAAUAGGGGAGCCGAAGGGAAACCGAGUCUUAACUGGGCGUUAAGUUGCAGGGUAUAGACCCGAAACCCGGUGAUCUAGCCAUGGGCAGGUUGAAGGUUGGGUAACACUAACUGGAGGACCGAACCGACUAAUGUUGAAAAAUUAGCGGAUGACUUGUGGCUGGGGGUGAAAGGCCAAUCAAACCGGGAGAUAGCUGGUUCUCCCCGAAAGCUAUUUAGGUAGCGCCUCGUGAAUUCAUCUCCGGGGGUAGAGCACUGUUUCGGCAAGGGGGUCAUCCCGACUUACCAACCCGAUGCAAACUGCGAAUACCGGAGAAUGUUAUCACGGGAGACACACGGCGGGUGCUAACGUCCGUCGUGAAGAGGGAAACAACCCAGACCGCCAGCUAAGGUCCCAAAGUCAUGGUUAAGUGGGAAACGAUGUGGGAAGGCCCAGACAGCCAGGAUGUUGGCUUAGAAGCAGCCAUCAUUUAAAGAAAGCGUAAUAGCUCACUGGUCGAGUCGGCCUGCGCGGAAGAUGUAACGGGGCUAAACCAUG